GGUGGCUCAAUGGUAGAGCACUUGUCUUGCAUGCAUGAGGCCCUGGGUUUGAUUCCUCAGCACCA
rnacentral:tRNA from 1 species